rnacentral:rRNA from 1 species
AGACCCGAAACCCGGUGAUCUAGCCAUGGGCAGGUUGAAGGUUGGGUAACACUAACUGGAGGACCGAACCGACUAAUGUUGAAAAAUUAGCGGAUGACCUGUGGCUGGGGGUGAAAGGCCAAUCAAACCGGGAGAUAGCUGGUUCUCCCCGAAAGCUAUUUAGGUAGCGCCUCGUGAAUUCAUCUCCGGGGGUAGAGCACUGUUUCGGCUAGGGGGCCAUCCCGGCUUACCAACCCGAUGCAAACUGCGAAUACCGGAGAAUGUUAUCACGGGAGACACACGGCGGGUGCUAACGUCCGUCGUGAAGAGGGAAACAACCCAGACCGCCAGCUAAGGUCCCAAAGUCAUGGUUAAGUGGGAAACGAUGUGGGAAGGCCCAGACAGCCAGGAUGUUGGCUUAGAAGCAGCCAUCAUUUAAAGAAAGCGUAAUAGCUCACUGGUCGAGUCGGCCUGCGCGGAAGAUGUAACGGGGCUAAACCAUGCACCGAAGCUGCGGCAGCGACACUCAGGUGUUGUUGGGUAGGGGAGCGUUCUGUAAGCCUGUGAAGGUGGCCUGUGAGGGUUGCUGGAGGUAUCAGAAGUGCGAAUGCUGACAUAAGUAACGAUAAAGCGGGUGAAAAGCCCGCUCGCCGGAAGACCAAGGGUUCCUGUCCAACGUUAAUCGGGGCAGGGUGAGUCGACCCCUAAGGCGAGGCCGAAAGGCGUAGUCGAUGGGAAACGGGUUAAUAUUCCCGUACUUGGUGUUACUGCGAAGGGGGGACGGAGAAGGCUAUGUUGGCCGGGCGACGGUUGUCCCGGUUUAAGCGUGUAGGUGUGUGUUCCAGGUAAAUCCGGUUCACUUUAACACUGAGGCGUGAUGACGAGGCACUACGGUGCUGAAGCAACAAAUGCCCUGCUUCCAGGAAAAGCCUCUAAGCAUCAGGUAACAUCAAAUCGUACCCCAAACCGACACAGGUGGUCAGGUAGAGAAUACCAAGGCGCUUGAGAGAACUCGGGUGAAGGAACUAGGCAAAAUGGUGCCGUAACUUCGGGAGAAGGCACGCUGACAC